rnacentral:rRNA from 1 species
GGGCCCGCACAAGCGGUGGAGUAUGUGGUUUAAUUCGAUGCAACGCGAAGAACCUUACCAGGGUUUGACAUCCUGCGAAUCUCUUGGAAACAGGAGAGUGCCUUCGGGAACGCAGUGACAGGUGGUGCAUGGCUGUCGUCAGCUCGUGUCGUGAGAUGUUGGGUUAAGUCCCGCAACGAGCGCAACCCACGUCUUUAGUUGCCAGCAUUUAGUUGGGCACUCUAGAGAGACUGCCGGUGAUAAACCGGAGGAAGGUGUGGAUGACGUCAAGUCAUCAUGCCCCUUACAUCCUGGGCUACACACGUACUACAAUGGUGGGGACAACAGGUUGCCAACCCGCGAGGGUGAG